rnacentral:tRNA from 1 species
UUACGUACGGCUUUGUGAUCAGAGCGCCUGGACGGUUUCCAGGAGGCGCGGGUUCGAGUCCCGCUACGUUCA